UCAGUGGCACGUGAUGACUUGAAGCUUUUUUCCCCAUCAUAUCGGCAAUGCUGACCAAAAUUGUUCUAGCCAGAUGGUCUGAUUCCACUGA